rnacentral:rRNA from 1 species
UACGGAGGGUGCGAGCGUUGUCCGGAAUAACUGGGCGUAAAGGGCGCGUAGGUGGCGCGGGCAGUCAACGGUGAAAGUUCGGGGCUCAACCCUGAAUCGGCCGUCGAUACUCCCGUGCUUGAGCACUGUAGAGGCAGAUGGAAUUCCGGGUGUAGCGGUGGAAUGCGUAGAGAUCCGGAAGAACACCGGUGGCGAAGGCGGUCUGCUGGGCAGUAGCUGACACUGAGGCGCGACAGCGUGGGGAGCAAACAG